UGGUAAUCAGUUGUAUCCCUGGCCAUUCGUACCAUCUAGGGUUUGUGUGCCCCGUGGCUGUGUAUGAUGUAGGGAGGUACUGCGAGCACAGGAGUAAGUUCAUGAUACGCGGGGUGAUGUCUCAUGCUUGGCUCCCACCACUGAUUCCACAAGAUGUGUUGCGCUCUUACAGACUUUUCCAAACAGAUUAGCCCCACCAGGCUUUGCUGUUGAUAAACAAAACUUUUCAGGUAGUUUGUUCCAGCUCGGCCUUAUCUUGGCACACAGCACGUGAACUCAGCUUCCCAGUUGCUGUGUGUUUGUUGUUUCCUCGAGGAGUGACACCCACUCGCGCGCAGCGUCAAAGAUACUUUUAUUCAAGAAGUUUAAAACACACACACGCACACGCGCGCGCGCUAAUGAAUGGCCGGGCUGUGUUCAGUCCAGCAGUGCAUUGCCUAGUGAACUGCAGGCUGUGGUGAGUGCCGUCUGAACAUGUCGGUUCAAAUAUUAGGAGGGGUGGGAGGUUGGGUGUCGAGUCAAUCCAUUACCUUCGAUGCACUUCAGAAGAUAACUCUGAAUGCACUCGCUGUACAAUGUAGCAGCCUGGGGUGGAUUUCAUGUUCAGCGCUUAACUUACCUCCGAAUAAAACCCGCAGCCCCUAUUAGCUACUCGCUGGUAAGGCCAGCGCGUCCCGCGCAUUUCGUGUUUCCGACUUUACCCGACAAUAGCUAACUGGCGAUGCAAAUUUAGAACUGCGACCUACAUUCUUUGUUCCGGGGGAUUCCCUACUUGUGCGCAUGUCCAGAAGACGUUAAUAUGUCUUCCGGGAAAAACAAACAGACGUGCUCACAGAUUUACUGUACAACUCUGUGGAUAUGCUCUUUUCGCGGAACAAACUUUGUCAGCCUACUUUUUUUGUAAUAAUGGAGCCGACGUCUUCCAAACGCCAGCGAGGAGCAAACUGGUCCAGCAGGGAAGUACGGGCAUUAUUAGAGUUUAAGAGAGAGGUUUUUGAGAUAACUCUAGUCAGCAGCUGCCCAGAUUUGCCUUCAUAUGCACCUGUUCCUGAUGGUGGCCUAACAAAGGAAGUGUUCUCUAGUGUAGAUGUCUAUGAUACAAAUAGUUUAAGAUGUACUCUCAAUAUAUAUUCUGAGAAAAUAAGUGUCAAGCAGAAUUUAAGUUCAGGUCAGCUUUAUGCUAUACCUAAGGCUGUUUGCAGAAAUGACAAGUACUGUUAAUAGUUUGUAAUCUCAGCAGUCCUGUCCAACCUUAAAUGAAUUUUCAGUAGGAUGCAUGUGUGGAAGUGUAAUGUAUCUUAAGAGUGAUGUACAAUCUAAGAUUGCAUAUUUUUGUGGUGCACAACUUGUGAACCAAAUAUUGAAACUUGCACUGGUUUUUCAUUGUUGUUGUUGUUGCACGUUGGGCAGGCAGUGGUGCACAUCACACGUGAUUGAUAGAUGGCGCUGCGCUCACACCUCGACGUCAACUGCCUGAAGUAUUUUGGCAGCAACAUUCGUGAGGCCUUAAUGUGAACCCAGUAGCCGAGCACCGACCUUCCAUUUCUUUCUAUGCCCCUUUCAAUCCUGCUCCUGUUUCUGCUCUUCUUUUUCCUCCUCCUCCCCCUCCUCCUCCUUCUCCUCAUCAUCAUCGUCAUCAACGAGGUUAGGGA
rnacentral:lncRNA from 1 species